UACGAAGGGGGCUAGCGUUGUUCGGAAUUACUGGGCGUAAAGCGCGCGUAGGCGGUGAUCUUUGUCAGAGGUGAAAUCCCGGGGCUCAACUCCGGAAUUGCCUUUGAAACGGGAUCGCUUGAGUCCGAGAGAGGAUGGCGGAAUUCCUAGUGUAGAGGUGAAAUUCGUAGAUAUUAGGAAGAACACCGGUGGCGAAGGCGGCCAUCUGGCUCGGUACUGACGCUCAGGCGCGAAAGCGUGGGGAGCAAACAGG
rnacentral:rRNA from 1 species